AUGUCGGACACGUCAAAGUCGACGCGGCCGACGAAAUCGGCCUUGUGCUUGACGAUAAUCUGCAGCUGGUUGGACUGCAGCUGGGCUUGGGAGAAGGUGAACAUCUGCCGCCACACCGGGUUGGCGUUCUUCUCCACGUGCCGAGUCACGUCCUUGAGGUCACCUAGCUUCACCUCCACGUACGGGUCCAGCGCGCCGGUGAUGCCCAUGGUAGGCAGGUCCCGCGCCUUUACCACGCUCACGCACAGAUAUGACAUCUGCUCCAACGUAUCGUGCGUUGACGUCAUCUCGGUCGCCGGCAGUUGA
rnacentral:rRNA from 1 species